GACGAACGCUGGCGGCGUGCCUAACACAUGCAAGUCGAGCGGAGAAUGCGGAUAUGUUUACAUAGAAGCGUUCUUAGCGGCGGACGGGUGAGUAACACGUGGGUAACCUGCCUCAAAGUGGGGGAUAGCCUUCCGAAAGGAAGAUUAAUACCGCAUAAGCCUACAGUAUCGCAUGGUACAGCAGGAAAAGGAGUAAUCCGCUUUGAGAUGGACCCGCGGCGCAUUAGCUAGUUGGUGAGGUAACGGCUCGACCAAGGCGACGAUGCGUAGCCGACCUGAGAGGUGAUCGGCACAUUGGAACUGAGACACGGUCCAGACUCCUACGGAGGCAGCAGUGGGAAUAUUGCACAAUGGGCGAAAGCCUGAUGCAGCAACGCCGCGUGAGUGAUGAAGG
rnacentral:rRNA from 1 species